rnacentral:rRNA from 1 species
CCUACGGGUGGCAGCAGUGAGGAAUAUUUGUCAAUGGACGAGAGUCUGAACCAGCCAAGUAGCGUGAAGGAUGACUGCCCUAUGGGUUGUAAACUUCUUUUAUAUGGGAAUAAAAUGUUCCACGUGUGGGAUUUUGUAUGUACCAUAUGAAUAAGGAUCGGCUAACUCCGUGCCAGCAGCCGCGGUAAUACGGAGGAUCCGAGCGUUAUCCGGAUUUAUUGGGUUUAAAGGGAGCGUAGGUGGAUUGUUAAGUCAGUUGUGAAAGUUUGCGGCUCAACCGUAAAAUUGCAGUUGAAACUGGCAGUCUUGAGUACAGUAGAGGUGGGCGGAAUUCGUGGUGUAGCGGUGAAAUGCUUAGAUAUCACGAAGAAAUCCGAUUGCGAAGGCAGUUCACUGGACUGCAACUGACACUGAGGCUCGAAAGUGUGGGUAUCAAACAGGAUUAGAUACCCUUGUAGUC